ensembl:lncRNA
AAAGGUAUCUUGGAGGAGUAAGGUGUCCAAAUUGCAACAUCUACACUGUAAAAAAUUAUUUAGCAGUUUAGUUGUUUCAACGAAUUUUUUUAUGUUGACACAACUUGCAGUUACUGAAUUUGUUCAUUCAACUAAAAAUUUUAAGUUUUCACUGUCUCAACUAGUUUGAAAGUUGACUCAACUAGAUUAUUUGUCCUAUCAACUUAAAAAAAUGUGUUGAAUCAAUUCAAUAGCAAUAUCACGUUCUCAACAUCACUUAUCGCGAGAUCUCGUCAUUCUCGUGAAGACCAUUCCAGGCAGAAGACGGUCGUCAGCCAUACUGGUCAGCUUCGCCACAAAGUUUGUUAAUUUCACCAGAAUACAACUUUGAUCAGCGCAGAAUUCAAUAAUCUUGUGGAUGGACCGCAGCAAGUCCUUUUGCAGUUGUAUCCCUCAAAAUGGUAUGCAGACAUAAUGGAAAUGACAUUCACAUUAUAGCGCUUGGACAAAGUUCACACAGGCUCAGGGCAGGAAUUCAUCAAGGACAUGACUGUUGGGAUUACGGUUGUGGAUGACCAAACUGAGCAGCAUCAAUCUGCAGUGAUGUGGUCCAGGUAAUAGAAGAAGAAAUCUUGGUGAUCUGGGGUUGUAACACGUUGUG